ACAAUGAUUUCCCUAGUAACGGCGAGUGAAGAGGAAAGAGCUCAAAGUUGGAACCUGUUUGGCUUAGCUAAACCGGAUUGUAAACUGUAGAAGUGUUUUCCUGACACGCCAGAUAAAUAAGUCCUUUGGAACAGGGCAUCAUAGAGGGUGAGAAUCCCGUCUUUGGUCUGAGCUGUUGUCUUUUGUGAUACAUUUUCAAAGAGUCAGGUUGUUUGGGAAUGCAGCCUAAAUAGGGAGGUAAAUCUCUCCUAAAGCUAAAUAUUUGCGAGAGACCGAUAGCGAACAAGUACCGUGAGGGAAAGAUGAAAAGAACUUUGAAAAGAGAGUUAAACAGUAUGUGAAAUUGUUAAAAGGGAACCGUUUGGAGCCAGACUGGCUUGACUGUAAUCAAUCUAGAUCUUUCUGGAUGCACUUGCAGUUUAUGCCUGCCAACGACAAUUUUUUCUGGGAGAAAAAACUAGGAGGAAUGUAGCCCUUCGGGGUGUUAUAGCUUCUUAGAAAAUAUCCUGGAUUGGAUUGAGGAUCGCAGUGAAUGCCUUUAGGCAAGAUUGCUGGGCGCUUUUGUUGAUAAAUGCUAGAAUUUCUGCUUCAGGUGGUGCUAGUGUUUAAAGGUGAAACUCGUUUAGUAUAUUUUUUAUUCGCUUAGGUUGUUGGCUUAAUGACUCUAAAUGAC
rnacentral:rRNA from 1 species